UGUUGUUGCUCAUAGUUUUCUAUGUUGUGUUUUGUAGACUGUUAUGGGUCUUUAUGUCGUUUUUCUUUCUUUUCUGUCUUAGCAUUGUCAGCUCGAAUUCAACUUCUGAGCUUAAUUAUCACUUUGGUACUUUGCACCUAUCUUUUUCCUUCCCUAUCCUUUUCAUCUGUAAAAGUUUCAUUUCGAUUUAAUGAGGGGUAUCCAAGCUAUUAUCAGGAAUCCAUUUGUUUCAAACACAUGGUUGUUUGUUGUUUUGAUCGAAGGGGACAACAUCGACUGCAUAAGAACUUAUCUAAACAAGAGUGCAAACAUGUCUCGCCUGUUUUAAUUAUGAUUGAUUUAU
rnacentral:lncRNA from 1 species